GUUAGUCGGGUGCUAAGACGAGGCCGUAAGGAAUAGUCGAUGCCAAGCUGGUUCAAUAUUCUAGCACCACUUUACUUGCGUUCGACCCAUGGAGUGACGGAGAAAGUUAAGACAGCAACGUGUUGAAUCGUUGUCCAAGUUCGUAGGCUGUUCGGGGAUAAAAUACCGAAUAAAGCUGAAAAACGACGGGACCUUGAAGCUACGGCUGAUGGGGAUUGUCUGAUACUCGGCUUCCAAGAAAAACUUCGUGGUUAGCAAGUAGGGUGCCCGUACCGUAAACCGACACAGGUGGGAAAGAUGAGUAUUCUAAGGCGCGCAGGUUAAAUCUCUCUAAGGAACUCGGCAAAUUAGCCCCGUAUCUUCGGUAGAAGGGGUACCGCGCAAGCGGUCGCAGUUAAUUGCGUCAACCGACUGUUUAGCAAAAACACAGCACUCUGCUAAGUCGCAAGACGACGUAUAGGGUGUGACACGUGACCAAUGCGGAAAGGUGAAAGCGUGAGGUGCAAGCUUCGCGUCUAAGCCCCCGUGAAUGUCGGCCGUAACUAUAACGGUCCUAAGGUAGCGAAAUUCCUUGUCGGGUAAGUUCCGACCCGCACGAAUCGUGUAACGAGUUGACGACUGUCUCGGAGAGAUGCCUGGUGAAAUUGUAGUGGCGGUGAAGAUGCCGCCUACCCGCAGCAGGACGGAAAGACCCUAUGCACCUUUACUGUAAGCUGUUAUUGUCGCUUGAUUUUUAAUACGUAGAAUAGGUGGGAGACUUUGAAGCUUGGUUCCAGGAUCAGGCUGAGUCACAACGUGAAAUACCACUUUUUAAUUGUUAGGCGUCUAACCACACACCAUCAACUGGUUGUGGGACAUUGAUAGCAGGUCAGUUUUUCUGGGGCGGAAUCCUCCCAAAGAGUAACGGAGGAUUACGAAGGUUCCCUCGGCCCGGUCGGUAAUCGGGCUAUAGAGCGCAUGAGUAUAAGGGAGCUUUACUGUGAGACCUACAAGUCGAGCAGUUGCGAAAGCAGGUUCAAGUGACCCGGUGGUUGAAUGUGGAAUCGCCAUCGCUCAUAGGACAAAAGGUACGCUAGGGAUAACAGGCUGAUCGCGCCCAAGCGUUCACAGCGACGGCGCGGUUUGGCACCUCGAUGUCGACUCAUCACAUCCUGGGGCUGGAGAAGGUCCCAAGGGUUCGGCUGUUCGCCGAUUAAAGUGGUACGCGAGUUGGGUUCAGAACGUCGUGAGACAGUUCGGUCCUCUAUCCGCUGUGGGCGUUUGUGAUUUGAGGGGUUCAUUCUCUAGUACGAGAGGACCGAGAAUGACGAACCUCUGGUGUUCCGGUUGUCACGUCAGUGGCAGCGCCGGGUAGCUAUGUUCGGAAGGGAUAAGCGCUGAAAGCAUCUAAGCGCCAAGCCCAUCCCAAGAUAAGAUCACAAUCCACCGCAAGGUGGUGCAAGGUCCGGGUAGACCACCCGGUUGAUAGGACAGAAAUGUAAGCACCGUAAGGUGUUCAGUUUACUGUUACUAAUGACCUU
rnacentral:rRNA from 1 species